GACGAACGCUGGCGGCGUGCUUAACACAUGCAAGUCGAACGGAAAGGCCCUGCUUUUGUGGGGUGCUCGAGUGGCGAACGGGAGAGUAACACGUGAGUAACCUGCCCUUGACUUCGGGAUAACUUCAGGAAACUGUGGCUAAUACCGUAUAGGCGUUCCUGCUGCAUGGUGGGGUGUGGAAAGUUAUGGCGGUUGGGGAUGGACUCGCGGCUUAUCAGCUUGUUGGUGGGGUAGUGGCUUACCAAGGCUUUGACGGGUAGCCGGCCUGAGAGGGUGACCGGCCACACUGGGACUGAGACACGGCCCAGACUCCUACGGGAGGCAGCAGUGGGGAAUAUUGCACAAUGGGCGGAAGCCUGAUGCAGCAACGCCGCGUGAGGGAUGACGGCCUUCGGGUUGUAAACCGCUUUCAGCUGUGACGAAGCGUGAGUGACGGUAAUGUGUAAAGAAGCACCGGCUAACUACGUG
rnacentral:rRNA from 1 species